UCCUCCUCCCCAUACGCUGGCAACAGGAGCUCUUGGAGGAGGAGAAAGCACCAUGCUCCGACAACCUUUGACCUUAAAGAGAGUGGCAUACACAUGGUAAAGAAGCAGUCAUGUUCAGGACCCCCACCCCAUGGAAGAAGAACCCAAUAUACCCCUGUCUCUGGACUCAGAAUCAUAUCUGCCGUGAAGCCUCCCAUCUUCCUGCGCCUGCCACAAACCAUCAGAGUGAUUUCCUACAAGAAUGGGACAAGACAAACCUCUGCUAAAGUCACAGCUUCUAACAUUACCACGCUUUUGGAGGCGUGCACAUCUAAACUGAAGCUGAACUCUGCAGCCAGAAGGAUAUUCCUGUGCGACGGUACAGGGGUUUCUCUAGCUGAGGACCUGGCUAUUGACUCAGAGGUGUUCGUCUCAAUGGGAGAGGCCUUCCUGGAACCACAGAGAGAAAUCCGAGGACAAGGAUUGUCCUGACUUUGAAGAUUGCCUGAAUUGAUUCACAUUGCUUUUCUGGUUGGUUGUUGCUGGAUCUGUGCACCAGCAAGUUGCAUCUCACCUCUGUGGCUAAGCUGGUCUACGACUGGGAUGGGAGACACGUGGAGGACAUCAGUCAAGUUUCCCUGUUGGAUGGCUGUCUGCAGAUUUCCCUCACCCUGCUGCCGGGGGCCACUGUGGGUGUCCAGGGGGGGAGAAGGUCAGCCCAGACGGGGUCAGGCUCUACAUCCAGGGGGGCCUUGCGGGCGAGGCUGCGGUCGGCCAAGGACCACCUG